CCAAUAGCGUAUAUUAAAGUUGUUGCAGUUAAAAAGCUCGUAGUUGAAUUUCGGGAUCAAUACGUCGGUCGUGCCUCCGGUACGUACUGGUGUUAUUGGUUUCUCCCUUCUGAUGAAUCACGAUGUCAUUAAUUUGGUGUUGUGGGGAGUCAGGACUGUUACUUUGAAAAAAUUAGAGUGUUUAAAGCAGGCUAACGCUUGAAUACAUUAGCAUGGAAUAAUGAAAUAGGACGUUCGAUCUUAUUUUGUUGGUUUCUAAGGUCAACGUAAUGAUUAAUAGGGAUAGUUGGGGGCAUUAGUAUUCAAUUGUCAGAGGUGAAAUUCUUGGAUUUAUUGAAGACUAACUACUGCGAAAGCAUUUGCCAAGGAUGUUUUCAUUAAUCAAGAACGAAAGUUAGGGGAUCGAAGACGAUCAGAUACCGUCGUAGUCUUAACCAUAAACUAUGCCGACUAGGGAUCGGAUGAUGUUAAUUUUUUAAUGACUCAUUCGGCGCCUUACG
rnacentral:rRNA from 1 species